rnacentral:rRNA from 1 species
UACGGAGGGUGCAAGCGUUAUCCGGAUUCACUGGGUUUAAAGGGUGCGUAGGCGGGCAGGUAAGUCCGUGGUGAAAUCUCUGAGCUUAACUCAGAAACUGCCAUGGAUACUAUUUGUCUUGAAUAUUGUGGAGGUAAGCGGAAUAUGUCAUGUAGCGGUGAAAUGCUUAGAUAUGACAUAGGACACCAAUUGCGAAGGCAGCUUACUACACAGUUAUUGACGCUGAGGCACGAAAGCGUGGGGAUCAAACAGG